CCCAAGAUGUUGGAUGAAAAAUUAGGUCAGUAUUUGUAUUGUCUGUUUAAGUGUUUCUAUAUCAUUUUCUUUUAUAACUUUACAUAGUACCAAUGUAUGCUUUGUAAAGAAAAUGAUAUAGAAACACAUAAACAGACAAUACAAAUACUGACCUAAUUUUUCAUCCAACAUCUUGGG
rnacentral:sRNA from 1 species